rnacentral:rRNA from 1 species
GUGGGGAAUCUUGCGCAAUGGGCGAAAGCCUGACGCAGCCAUGCCGCGUGAAUGAUGAAGGUCUUAGGAUUGUAAAAUUCUUUCACCGGGGACGAUAAUGAUGGUACCCGGAGAAGAAGCCCCGGCUAACUUCGUGCCAGCAGCCGCGGUAAUACGAAGGGGGCUAGCGUUGCUCGGAAUUACUGGGCGUAAAGGGCGCGUAGGCGGACAGUUUAGUCAGAGGUGAAAGCCCAGGGCUCAACCUUGGAAUUGCCUUUGAUACUGGCUGUCUUGAGUACGGGAGAGGUGAGUGGAACUCCGAGUGUAGAGGUGAAAUUCGUAGAUAUUCGGAAGAACACCAGUGGCGAAGGCGACUCACUGGCCCGUUACUGACGCUGAGGCGCGAAAGCGUGGGGAGCAAACAGGAUUAGAAACCCGUGUAGUCC